ACAGAGGGUGCGAGCGUUAAUCGGAAUUACUGGGCGUAAAGCGUGCGUAGGCGGAUAUUUAAGUCAGAUGUGAAAUCCCCGGGCUUAACCUGGGAACUGCAUCUGAUACUGAAUAUCUGGAGUAUGGUAGAGGAAAGUGGAAUUCCCGGUGUAGCGGUGAAAUGCGUAGAUAUCGGGAGGAACAUCAGUGGCGAAGGCGACUUUCUGGAACGGUACUGACGCUGAGACGCGAAAGCGUGGGGAGCGAACAGGA
rnacentral:rRNA from 1 species